AGAGUUUGAUCCUGGCUCAGAAUCAACGCUGGCGGCGCGCUUAACACAUGCAAGUCGCACGAGAAAGAGGAGCAAUCCUUGAGUAAAGUGGCGUACGGGUGAGUAACACGUGGAUCAUCUACCUUUUAGUGGGGAAUACCCCUGGGAAACCGGGGAUAAUACCGCAUAAGCUCGUGAGAGGAAAGCAGCAAUGCGCUGAAAGAGGAGUCCGCGGCUGAUUAGCUAGUUGGCGGGGUAACGGCCCACCAAGGCGAAGAUCGGUAGCCGGCCUGAGAGGGCACACGGCCACACUGGCACUGAAACACGGGCCAGACUCCUACGGGAGGCAGCAGUGGGGAAUCUUGCACAAUGGAGGAAACUCUGAUGCAGCGACGCCGCGUGAGCGAUGAAGCCCUUCGGGGUGUAAAGCUC
rnacentral:rRNA from 1 species